GACGCGGGAAGGAGGGGGCGGGCUGCGGCACCACCGAGCCAAUCCUCGUCCCGGCACAGAGACCGGAGAAAAUGAGAUUUAUUCCAACUAUCCAGGACAGAAAACUUCAGGAACUUCUCUGCCUCCCCUCCUCCCCGCCCUGCUUCCCCAGUGCCAUUUCCUUUCCUUUAGCAUUGGCUGCCUCCUGCUUGCCCCGGGUGAAUUUGGGGGAAGGGGAAAGCCCAGGCCUCUGCUAAGCUGCUUGGAGGAGGCUGGCAAAGGAAAGGAGUUUGCUUGAGGUGUGUAAAGCCCUUGUGAUAACAUGGAGUAAUUCCAGACCACGCUGGAUGGGAAGUCCCCAGUGCCCAUGAUACAGAGCUGCCAACUCAAAUGGGGAGAGAGACCCCAAGUCUGCAGGUGUGCAGCCACACCAGGACCUCCAGGCAGUGUUGGGGUGAGCACUGGUAGGGUAAGAGCCUCCCUGUAGGCUGACCCUGUGGGUCAGAUAGGCAUCAUGGGCUCAGGACAAGCAUUACGAAGUCAGGACAAUUAUUACGGGGUUGGGAUAAGCAUUAUGGGAUCGGGACAACAUUAUGUUGGGUGCCACCAUGCAAGGAAGUGGCACUAGGUAUAUCUGAGGAGGUGGCAUGAGUUUCUGCCCACCUGUGGGACACCGCAUCCCUCUGGCAUCACACUUCAUUGCUUUGUCCCUUGAUGGUCAUGGGGCAGAAGACCCUACUAGUGCCAUCGAGGGGUUCAACGCUGGAGAACACAGCGUUGCUUGUGUCCUUGGUGACCCCAUGGCCUAAAGACGAGGCUCGGUGGCUCUCCUGGGGAUGUGUGGCCAGACACCAGCACUGUUCCCAGCCCUGUAGAGAAGGGAGGUGGCUCAGCUGGCAAGGGCGAGAUUGGACUUGUUGGGGUGAAGCUUAAGGAAUGACAAAAUGUCUGCAGAGAUGCUGAAAUGGAGCCUGGCCUCUCACUUGGCUCAGGUGGCCCUGGGCAGGAUGGGCACCAUGUUCUUGGCCAUACAGCUCAGCUCCAGCUCUGCUUCUGGAGGGAGGAGACCAUGGCUUCCCAACUUAGACCACCUCUACUGGUGGAAGGGCUUCUUUGGCUUGAACCUCUCCUGACACUCUUGCUUCUUGAGGAUUAUCCUUCCCAGUGAAUAACCCAAAGUUUGUCUGCAGAGUGUGUGCUGCUUGUGAUAACGAGAGGAAGCUCUUUGCUGGAGAUAGGCUCCAUGCCACUUCCCAGGGGCUGCAGGCAGAGCAGCUUGGUGCCUUGCUCAUUGCUUACAGGCAGCUGUAGGGUUUUGGCACAGCAUCAGCCUCUCAGCCUCAGGCUUCUCCCCUGUGAAAUGCAAUGGUUGCAAUUUCUGCCUUCCAUGAAGGCCAGAUGCAAUGUUGAUUACGAGUAUAAGGCUUGAAAUACCUCCAAAAUACCAAUUUUUGGGGUAUAUCUAGAGGGCCCGCAGCUUGGAGGGUGAUGCGAGCUCAGGUAUGAUGGAGUCUGAGCUAUGCCAACAGUAGGGAAAGGAGAAGAACCCAUGACCUACUUCCUCCCUGCUUACCAGAGCUGUAGUGGACACAUCUUCCCAUAUGUCCCACCCAGAGGAAGUCAGACAGGUGGUGGGAGAGGAAGGGAAAGGCGCUUUCUUCAGCUCUUUGCCCUCUGCAAUCUCUCAGGGCAUCUCUGCCCCCAGCCCCGUCCUGGUGCCCUGCAGUGGGGGCUGCGGUGGGGAGUGGCGGCUGACGUCGCUGGGGAAUGCAGAACAAAUCUCUUCCAGAUGGGGCAGGGGCCACGCUCAGCAUUUUGUGGGUCGCCCCCUCCUCUUCCUUCUCCUUCUCUUCUUUGCCUGUGCUCAGAGCAUCUUUAUGAACUGGGCCAUGAUCUGUUUCCAGGAAAGCAGCUGGAAACCCCCUCUCCUGCUCCAUGAACCUUGUGGUUUUGUGUCUGUGCCAGCCAAGCUGUCCCCUUGGGGAUGACAUUGAACUGUGUGACUCCAGGACUCAGCCCUCAUCCCAGCCAUUGGGCACAAAGUGAUGUGAAUAGCCCCACUAUACCCUGGCUUGGGCUGUUUCCUCCUUUCCGUCCUUGCCUAUUGAGCUGCCUGGAAAGUGUAUCUGUCUAAACCUGCUUCCCAGCCUCUCCUUCUGCUGUACAUCUGCCCCUGUCUGUCCCUGCAAGAGAUGUGGUGGGUCUGGAUGGUCUUGCAGAGCCACUGCAGAACCCAUGGGUGCCCUGGGCGAUAGCUAAUGGCUGGACCCCUCCCAGCCCCGUUGCCCCAGACACCCAUCUGCCUCAUUUACCCUGAGUCACCUCUGCCUUUCAUCCCUCUGCAACACCCCAGGCAGUGCUACCAGUCUAGCCAUGGUGGAGAGAGACUGGCUAUCGGGUUUAUCAUUGAGCAGACGGGUGGCCCUGCAGCUUCCCUGGGUGCUGGUGAUGUAUGCUUUGAUUCCUGCAACAUCAAAGUUGGGGCUGUGCAAAUUGACCCCCUCCUCUUGGUGCUCUUCCCUUGGGGCAAAGCAAGUGUUGCUGGUAUGAUAGGGAGGGAGUGAAGGAUGGGGGGACAUGGGGUGUCCUGGUGUGGUGGAGGAGGCAGUGAAGGACACUUCUGAGGACAUGAAGGUGCUACUUCCAUUUUGCUUUGGGGAAGGCAGUAGGAACACCCCAACCUGGGGAUGGGGUUUCCAGCCCUGGUUGCCUAUUCCCUUUUCCCGAGCUCCAUCCCUGGAAAUUUCCUGGGGAAGGAUUGCAUAGGGGAGGGCAGGCGAAAAGGGGCUCCUGCUCCACACACCAGCAGCCCAUAUCCUGUUGCUGCCCAGGCUCCCCGGCUCAUAUUUCCUCAUUAACUGGGAGUGCUGCUCGUUUGUGGGCGACUUCCAGAUGUUUCCAUUCUUCUCACAGCAACCACGAGGGUGCAUACCGCACGAGCUGGGAGGUGCUGCUGGCAGCUCCUGCUGCAAAUGGGGGCCAGGAGGAUAUGCAUCCCUCUGUGGUUCCAGGUUCCCUCACCCCAGCAUUGCAGUGAGCAAGCUGGGAUGGCUGCCCAUCCUAAGGUGUGCGAUGGUUGAAUCCAGCAUGAUACCCUUUAGCAUCUGCCUGUUGUUUCCUUGCUCUGACACCAGCUCUGUGGGCACAACAUUGCCAUCAGCCCAUGGUUUCUACAUUCUCCCUCAACCUGGCAACACUUGGGAGAAGAAUCCUUGUGCUGCACCAGGGUUGGGUAAGAGCCCAUUUGUGCUCUGGGUCAGGGGGAAACCAAGGGAAUAGGAUUGACCACAUCCUGCUGUUGGGUUUGCAAAGGAGGGGAUGCUUCUUCCUGGGGAGCUGGGCCAGGAAUGUUAAGCCUUGGGGCUUACCAAAGCCCAGGAGGAGAUAGGGAUGCAUUCUCAGGCUUGCUGCCUCCCUGCCCUCUGCCCAUCUCCUCCAAUCCCAAAUGUUUUCAUCCUCCUCCCUCCUUUUGCCCAUGGCUUUCUCCUCUCAUGCUCCAACACGUGGGGGUGUUGCGAGUAGAAGAUGGAGAUGCAAACUCUGGCACAGAAAGGAAAGAAGGGGUGCUUUGGGAUGCGGCAGGGAGAGGGAUGGGGGAUGUUGCAUAAAGCAGAAGCAAUCCUAGAACAGCUGCCUGUAGCCUGGAAACACCUCUGUGAUUCCAUGCUCUGGGAAAGGCAAUGCAAAUAUCUUCAUAAAUAUGGAUAUUACAUCUCCCACCACCUGAUUCUCCAGUUCCUUUUCACAAAACCUAUGGAGGUGUAGGAGGGACUUGGGGGUGGGUUCAGACAUUGGUUUUCCUCCCUGCAGUAAGAAGCAACUCUCUGCAUGGAGAGGCUUCUGUGGGUCUGAGUGCCCUUCCUUAGUGUGCUCCCUUGGCUGGAUGAAGAGAGGGAGCACAUCUGUGGGAUUUCAAAGGAAUGAAGGAAAAGGGAGCUGGGGAUCCCAAGAGAAGGGAACAGGUCCCCAGAGUUGGUGUGUCCAUGGAGAUGAUUGGGAGCAAGGCUUGGGGAUGAGGAAGGGCAUGAUGUAUGGAAAGAAGGCAGCAUUGUGGGGAUAUAGGGAAGGAAGAAUGGGGAUGGAGAGAGAAGUCAUCCAUGGGUUGAAAUGAUUACCAUACAAGAGGAACCUGCCCUGCUCCAAGGGAAGAUAGGGGAGUGGGUGGAAACGGGGUCUGGACAACUCUUUAAUCGUAAUGAUUUUGCCUGUCCAUCCAGCCUGCAUAUUUUUGGCCACGGAAGGAAGGGGGUGGGGUGCAGAGGCAGCUAAAAAUAGGGGUGUCCCUGCCCAUUCCCCCAAGGCGGGCAUCCGUCUGUCUGUCUGCUGCCUGUGGGGCUGCUGCGGGAUCUGGAGGAGGGGAGCAGGCCCGGCCUCCUCCCCAAAGAGUCUGGCUCUGCUUUUGUUUGUCUCUGGGCCCUACAGGGACAGGAAGAGGCUGUGGGGCCGGGAAACAAUGGCUCAUUCUCUUGGCGUCAGCGCCUGGCCAGCAGCGAUAGGGGACGCGGGCUCCCGGCCAGGAGGAGGCACGGCCUCGGCCGCCCCAAGGAGACAGUUGGGGACAACGCCAGGAGAGCUGGCUGGAUGCGGGCUGCCUUCCCCAGCCUGUCUCUCUGCCCCGCUGCACACUGUGCCCUAUACAAGGAGUGGUCUCUUGUAGGCACACCCUAUGGAGGAGGUGAUGGAGGUGAUGGCAGCGACCUAAUGAGAGGUGGGAGCUGGCAGUGGGGCAACACUUCACUAGUCCUUGACCCUGUGAAACCUGCGGGGAUGGUGCAGGACAAAUUUGGCAAUCCAGCAUUCUGCUGGCCAAGGGACAUGGAUGAGCGUGUGUUGCGGGUUGGACAACAAACCCUUCCAUACCAGAUCCUCCUUGUCCUCCUUUCCUCCUUGUCAGUGUUCUAUCCAAAUGCCCUGUGCUGGAGCUGUCUCUCUCUGGCCAAUGCUUUUCUAUAUGCAGGGUAAGAGAAGGCAGGGUGAGCACCUGAUGUGGAGCGGAGGUUGGGAGAUGUUCUACAGAGGUUGAGCAAGAAGGGGAAAGAAGCAUCUCCCUAUCUCCGUACCCCUUCCCAAGGUCUCGGAUGCUAGGGGCUGAAUGCUUGCCAGGGCUCCUCUUGUUUACUCAGAUGGGAGCUGACAUAUCCAAGGUCUCUGCUGACUCCACUUUCCCACAUGCUGCUGCCGGGCGCAUUCCAGGGCAGAGUGGAAAUCAGCGCUGAGGCAUGCGAGAAGGCUUGAGCCAGGGAUGCCAUUCUGUGCCUCUGGCCAGGCAGUAAGGAGUGGGCACCAUGCAUUGCCUCUGCUGGGGCUGGUGUGGAGCCUGGUGUGAAAGCAUGGAUGGGGACCGGGGGAUGGGGGGUCUACUUCUCAUCCAGCAAAGCUGGGUUAUUGCUGCCAUCCAGAGAGCUGCAUCUGCUGAGGGUUAACUGCUCUGGGCUCUGCUGUGCUCUGCUCAUGUGCACACGCCCUCCCAGCCUGGCGUGGAUGCCUUUGGUUUUAGGAGGGAAGACCGCAGAGCUUUCAGAAAUAAGUGCCAGGAGAUAAAGAAGGGUUUGCAGGGCUGGGGCCGGAGAGCUGUGCUCACCCUGUCAUUUCAGCCACGCUCUCCUCUGAUGGGUCUCAGGGAUGCUCUGACCUCUAUCAGGGCAUCAGGCAUCUCUGCAUCUUUCAGGCUUCUGGAGGAGGACCAUCACGACCUCCACUUCCCUGGGCUGGCCCGCAGCGGCCCCCUUACACCCAGCCCCAGCAUCUGGAAGAAGAGGCCUCGCCUCCCUUCUCCGCUGCCACAGGAAACACAGAGCCUGGAGGUCAGGGGCCGGUGGCAGCUCCUCCCGUGGGGGCAGCCACCCAGCGCGGGAGCUUGCAUCAUGCUGGAGAGGAGGAGGGGGAGAGCCAGGCUUUUCCUGUUUGUGUGACUCACAGACCCCCGAGAAAGGGAAAGGGCUUGGAAAGUGCUUUGCUCUUGGGCAGGCUCCAGCGAGCACUGGGGAUUGCAUCCCUGCGGGAAGUCUUGGCUAACCCUGACCCUAACCCUACCCCAGGGUGUGCAGGCAUCCAGCUCCUGCACCACAGAGGCUGGAGCUGCUGAUGUUGGGUCAAGGGGGCAAGCUGGAGCUGACUUCCUUGGAAGAGAGGCAUGGCUCUUACUGCAUCCCAUAUAUAUGUUGGCUUUGGGAAUGCCAGGCAUGGAGGAAUGUGUAGGGGAAGUGUUCAUGUAACACCACAUUUAACCAGGAUGGCUCCAGCACUCAACAUGCAGAAGGGCUGUGGAACCUCCCAUGUCAACUCGGGCCACAUCCUGCAUGUUGUCUGUGGUGGCCCUAGUGGUACGUGGAGAAGGAAAUAAUGUCCCAGGUAUGCUCACUCCUUUACCUCCAGCACUUAGCCACUCUGGCUUUGGUCAAGUCUGCACCAAUUUUGUCAGAUUAUCAGCUUUGGUUCCCCUCGGUAGCCCUUGACAGUACCAAAAGUGGGCUGAGGGAUGGACUGUGCAGACCCACCUCUAGCUGUCUACCACUGGAGAGCACACUCCAGUAGGUAACACCAAUGGGAGUAGAGGGAAGUUAUGGCACCUUUAAAGGAGAGGAGUUGGUGUGGGUCCAGAAUUUCCAGGGUGGAGAGACUUGGGAAGGACCUCAGCAGAAAGGAGCAAGGAGCCCUUGAAGAUCUGAUCUGCGUGGCAGGACCUGGGCACAGCUCCCCACGUCCUUUGUAAGGGCUCUGAAAUGAGGCCACGCUGACCCAAAGCUUUUGGGCUUGGCCCUGGCACUUCCCCAACCACUUCCCAAGGGCUAAGAUGGUGGGGUGGUGCCACCCUAUGGCUCUGCAGCAGCGUUACAGGGACACCUACAGCUCGAUCAGGUGCUCAGAGACCCUCCAGCGUCACCUUGGAUGUCUCCAGGGAUGCGGCAUCCACCACCUCUCUGGGAAACCUGUGCCAGUGCCUCACUAAAGGAGGAGACACUUGGGACCCUGACCAUCUUGGGGAGGAGGAGAUGAUCAAAAAGGUAUUUGCAUGAUAUGCUCCUUCUUUCCUUCCCAUCCACGCUGCACAAGGGACAAGGGGCAUUUUUGAACUUGUCAGAGCAGAGCUCCCAGAGAAGCAUCUAAUCUCUUGGAGAUAUUUUAUUCUUCUGAAUCCAAACUACUCACAGCCAGUUUGACUGUAUGAUGGCAUCUGAGCUGUUGUGAUUGUUGUGAUUCUCACUGCCUUGGUGCCAUUGACUUCAGCUGCCCUGCCAACACAAGGCAGGAUUUGUAUUCUGGUUUGUCUUCACUCCCAUCCUAACCUUGAGCUCACGUGAGAUGGUGGAAGUGUGCCUAGUCUGGGCAGCUGGCUCACCUUUUGGGAAAUGGCUUGAAAGACAGAGAUGGAAAGAGCCUCUCCAGCACUGAUUGAGGUCUAGGGGAGGACAGAGGUGGAGCAGAGGGAAGAUAACUGGUAUAUGCAGAAGUGCAGGUGAAUGCUACAGAGCUAUCCAGACAUAUUGAUUUCUGUUCUGCACGGUGCCAUCAUCACUGUCUGACUUCUAAUACAGACUGGUGACCCUGCCCUUUUGGCCCAUUUGCCCUCUGGCUGCAGGUCAGCUACUCAUUUGAUUCAGCCAGCCUGUAUUUGUGGCAGACCUCAUUCCCUGUGACAGACCUUGUGCCCCAGGGAGGAGCAGUGAGAGUCAGGAAGGACAGACAGCCGAUUUCCAUCUAUUGCUAACAGGGCAGGGUUGAGGUUGGUGUAAAUCACCUGCAGUGGGAGAUGUGCCUGGAGUGGCUGAAGCACUCGUGGGGUCCUGAGGACCACGGAGAAGUGGCAGGGUCUCAAUGCACAGUGUUUGCAGGAUGCUAGCUGGGGAUGGUGUCAUUCUCUAGCCCCAUUUUUCAGGAUAGUGCUGGGGCUGUGCAUGUUGGCUUACGUAAAAAUUUACCCCAAAGUUAUUUCCCCAGAGGCGGAAAACAAUGCCUGUUUGGUGUCCUAGAGUUCAAAGGGCUUUGUGCAGCACCCACCAGCUGGCUGAGGUUGAUGCGGUCACAUUGACCUCUGGUGGCUGCAGCCUCAGCGUGCAAGGAAAGCACUGCGGGAAACCAGGGGGGUUUAGUGAGCUGCUGUGUGCUGCAGCUAAAAUGCAGUUGGGUUGCAGCCCCAGCUCACUGGCGUGGAGGCCCUUGGCAAUGGGGCAGCCAGGCAGCUUCGGAUCGAGGAAGCCCACCUGGGUGACUGGAUCCUGUGAGCCUGCUCUAAUUCAGCUCUCACUUGCCACCCUGCACACCUGGGUGCCCUGAUGAGGAUGGAGGUGUGUUGCCAACACCUAACCAAGGAGCUCCCACAUGCUUCUGCCUCCUUUAGCUCCAGGCAAUGGGCGUGUGUGUGAGGGGGAGGAAUUUUGAAGGAAGCAUUCACUUAUUUUCCUAUCUCCACACACAUGUGUGCAUUUCCUUCCUGCCGUGAAGGCCUCGUUCCCCUUUUCUGCAGACAUCUGCACCACCAUGAAGAGAGGAAACCGCUGCUGUCCUGUUGUGAUCCUGAGAAGCACUGGGGAGAUGAGAAGUCAGAGCCAUUGCACAGGCUGUUAGUAUAAGCACUGAGCUCCACGAGUGAUAGAAGGAAAAAUAAAAGUGUUUUUUAUUUUUGGCAUCUGUUAGUUAAGCUGGUGCGAGACAGUGAUCAGACCAUGCUGGAGUCGAGAAUUCUGUUUCACGACAUCUUCUGAGCAUUCGUUCCACAGAGGAACAAAACUGUUGAGAGGUUUUGUGACGCAGAGUGGUGCUUGGGCAACCAGUAUGGGGAGGGAAGAUUUGGAGGGUGGCUUCAAGCUCUCUGGACUUGACUGUGGAGACCAACUAGAAUCUCGGCAUAUCUCCCUCCUGAAAAUUCACUGGAAGGUGUAAAUCUUCACAAAUCACUGGGCUGUAAGAAAAGUAGCAUGGUUUGAUGGGCCUGAUCUAGUGGUUGGCAACCCUGUUGGUGGCAGGGGGUUGGAACUGGUUGAUCUUCAAGGUCCCCUCCAACUGAAGCCAUUCUAUGAUUCUACGAUCCUAUGAAAACAAGAAGUAUUUUAUUGAAGGCAUUGUGAUUAGCUCAUGUUAGGUAGGAGAGUUCAGGGCAGUUUUGUAGACCUCGCAGAAGACCCAUAGUUUUGUGGGGCAUGUGUGCUAAGCCCUUCCUCUCUCGGUGGAAACACUGCAUGGCUCACCGUUUGCUGGCCCGUCAUAGGUUUCCUGUGUGAGCCGGCAGCGUUUGGAAAGUCUUACCGUGCAACUAUUUUGGUCAGGAUUUGAAAAAAAAAAAAAAGAAAGAAAACAAAACACGAAACCACCAACCCAACAGAGUGCACAAUGGCAUUCUUGGCGUGAAGUCAACCGUAUCAGCACAGAAGUUGGCACUACCGAUAGAGCCCGUGUGGAAACAUGACACCUGGCUGUGAGUGUGUGUGGUGUGGUGACACUGGGACAAAUUGGUCUGAUUUUUUUGGGUUGUCCUGUGCAGAGCUGGGAGUUGGACUCAAUGGUACAACGGAACCCAGUGCUUAUGGGUUCCUUCUAACUUGGGAUAUUCUGAUUCUGUGAUUGAAACUGGGCUGUCUGGCACAGCUGCCCUCCAAAGGGUGAGAUCCUCACCACUGUGCCUCCAUUCCAUGGCCAAAACAUGGGAUGGGCCAUCUCCCUCCUCUCAGGAGCUCUCUGUUGGCCUUGGGGUGGUCUGUAGCUCUGGGACUUGACACAACAGAUAACGCUUGAUGUGGGAAGCUCUCCAUCUGAUUUCCGUGUGCUCUGAGUCACAAAGUGCCGCAGCCAUUGCCAGUGGGGUCAGGGUGGGUGGAGGAGAGCCUUCCUUAAGUUUGCUUCUGUCUGGGUGAAUGAGAAAAACCAAAGCUGUUUGGGGCUUUUAUUGUAAAGGCAAAGAUCUUAUCUUCUAUCACCACAUAAUAUCCUGCUCAGGAAAUCUUUUCUCUAGAGAGAGAGAGAGAGACCUGGGAUGUUUGCAAGAGAAUAACUAGCAGGCAUAAAUUGACAGGGCUUGAGUCAGAACCCUUCCCUGCAGGCAGCCUUGCUCCUACUUGUUUUUGAUCACUCAUUUGCAACUGGACGCCUCUGGCUGGAGCUCCCCCAGACCCCUCCUUGUCCUAGUGGCACGGGACGGGUUUAGGCAAGAUGGCACAUGGCAGUGGUGAGAGCUGUCUGCUGUGUGCCCAUUGGGGUGCUCCAGCCCCACUGCUGGGGUGGCUGUGCCCACUGGGGCCGAGCUGGAGGACAGCUCCCAGCUGAGGAGCCCUGUACUGGGUCAGAGCUCAGUCACACUGCCUGGGGGUGCCUCCACACCCAGCUCCACCCACAGACAUCGCUGAGGACCAGGGACCAAAAUUAAGGCCGGAGGACCUCUUCUUGACCUCCAUCCGGCUUUUGCCAGCCACUCCCAUUUUCUCCCUUUGCUUGAACCCCCCUUCCAUCCAGAACUGGCCCUACAUGUGGGCAGUUCAGGCUACAAUUUCUGGAGCCCUUCC